rnacentral:tRNA from 1 species
AAGCUAAGGGGUGUUAUCAUAUCGGAUUGCAAACCCGAGGACGCGACUUUAUCUUCGCCUUAGCUUC